rnacentral:tRNA from 1 species
GCGCCUGUAGCUCAAUCGGAUAGAGCAGCGGUUUCCUAAACCGCAGGUUGGGGGUUCAAUUCCCUCCAGGCGCG